UAUUAAUAGACUUGUUCUUUUCGUUCUUAUUACCCUAAUUAAUUUAAGUUCAGAAAGAAAAAUCCAGAUAAAGAGUUGUCCGCCUACAACCCCUGCAUGAAUAGCAAGCGUCACUGUACUCAUUGUCCUCUUCACCCUGUAGAUAGACAAGAUAUAACAGCCAGGACAAAUGAAAAGCCAGAAUUGAACGUCUUAAAACGACAAACUGCAUGCAGAAAUUACAGCGGUGAAAGCGACGUGCUUUUCAUCGGCGAUGGUGAAAUUCAGCAUCUCCGUCGUCGGCCGCCCGACCGUUUCUGAGACAAAGCAGGUCCAGACAAGACAGAUGGUUAAGAGAAGCCACGGGGCCAAUGUCAUAACGCGUGUCGCUUGGAGGGGGAUUCCGUAUAAGGGGACGUUACUUUUGCCUUGUUAUUAGAGCGGAGAGUGGAGAGACAUGCAAAUCAAAUGGAUAAUAAUAGUGCCGUGUGUUUAAUUA